CCACUUUCAGGAGGACCCUGUCUCCAAACCCCCCCCCCCCCCCCGGGCCAGAUUCACCGUAGACAAACACCCCUCCAGCCCUGUCAUUUAUAAGUCCAUCCUGAAGAAGAGUGUGACCAUGCAGCACACACCCUUGGCGGUGUUCCACUACACAGACAGUGAGGGAUGCUCUGACAACGUCCACCCCAGCAAGGUCAGCGCCAUCGUCCAGACCUGCUGGGCAUCAUCAAGCUGAGUUGGAGCAGAUGCUGGAGGGCAGUGCGGUGAGGGCCCAGAAGCAGCUGGUGUUGUUAGACAGGGAGGAUGGCCCACCACCCCAGGGCACUGUGGAGUGGCUCAACAUGAGGAGCUGGAUCUCCAGACACCUGCACCUCUCCUGCCCAUGCAGUGUCUACUACAAGAGGAGCCUGCCCAAACUG